rnacentral:lncRNA from 1 species
UGUAAUUACUGUAUGUAGACAAAUUUUUAAAUUAUAAAUAAAAAUGUUAUGGAUAACGUAUAUUCUAUAUGGAGGUCAAAGGGUAGCUUAGGAUAAGCAAAAUAAAUGCAUGGAUAAUUUGGUAUUUUAAAAUUUUAUGUCAUGUAACAAAUUUUGGAACUAAUUUACUCUAUCCAAAUGAGGGAACAAAAUUAAUCUCUGAAAAACUUUUUCAUUUUCAGUUAUCAAACUUAAGAUCCAACCUUUUGUAUCAUUCAGUUCCAUAGAAUUAAAGUGUCAGCAAUUAGACAUAUAUGAACCCGUUCCACUUUUUCCAAUAAGAAUACCCUUUUUUUAAUCUUCAUGGCAAAUGGAACUGCAAACUCAAGUUUAUAACGUUAGUUAUAAACAUUAAUAUCUUACGCACUAUAUCAUAAUUUUUGGAAAUCGUCACUAUUUAAUAUUCACAUCUAACAACAAAAAGACUAGUGCUUAGAAUUGAUAUUGUGAAU